rnacentral:rRNA from 1 species
UCCGUAGGUGAACCUGCGGAAGGAUCAUUAACGAGUUUUGAAACGAGUUGUAGCUGGCCUUCCGAGGCAUGUGCACGCUCUGCUCAUCCACUCUACCCCUGUGCACUUACUGUAGGUUGGCGUGGGCUCCUUAACGGGAGCAUUCUGCCGGCCUAUGUAUACUACAAACACUUUAAAGUAUCAGAAUGUAAACGCGUCUAACGCAUCUAUAAUACAACUUUUAGCAACGGAUCUCUUGGCUCUCGCAUCGAUGAAGAACGCAGCGAAAUGCGAUAAGUAAUGUGAAUUGCAGAAUUCAGUGAAUCAUCGAAUCUUUGAACGCACCUUGCGCUCCUUGGUAUUCCGAGGAGCAUGCCUGUUUGAGUGUCAUGGAAUUCUCAACUUAUAAAUCCUUGUGAUCUAUAAGCUUGGACUUGGAGGCUUGCUGGCCCUUGUUGGUCGGCUCCUCUUGAAUGCAUUAGCUCGAUUCCGUACGGAUCGGCUCUCAGUGUGAUAAUUGUCUACGCUGUGACCGUGAAGUGUUUUGGCGAGCUUCUAACCGUCCAUUAGGACAACUUUUUAACAUCUGACCUCAAAUCAGGUAGGACUACCCGCUGAACUUAAGCAUAUCAAUAAGCGGAGGA